UGUACUCUGGACGAAAGAUUUACAUUGAAAACUUGUGGUCCAUUCUGAACAAAAAAUUGACUGAAACAAUUUUCUUCUUGUUUGAAGGAAAUAUACAUUCUCGUUGAAAAGAGCGUUGUGGCCUUGUUGAAGGAGUUGGACGAAAAUGAGUGGACCGACGUCGAGGUCAAGUCGAAUGACGAUGGCUUUGUUCUGGCGCAUCGUUGCAUAUUGGCAAUGUACAGCAUCAUGCUGAAGGUUCGCUGUUAUCAGGCGAGUAGAGCGAAGCCUCCGCCGACAAUUCAUUUGCCAUAUUCGCAUGAAUGUCUCUUGCUGUGCAAAAAACUUAUGUACAAAGGCUCCGUCGAAGUUGAUUCAUCGACGAGUAUGAAAUCAGGAAUGUAACUGAAACACCGUCUGAAAGUUAUUCCGACCUCAUUCCUCCCUCUCAGUCAUCGCGGAUUGGUAUGGUUGUUGAAGAAGUCAAUAAUGGCGAUGAAGAAAGCUAUGGUGAGGAUGGAGAUAGUGUGAAAGAUGAUGAGGAUGAAGAUAAUGUGGAAGACGUUGAGGAUGGAGAUCGUGUGGAAAAUGGUGAGGAUGGAGAUAGUGUGGAAGAUGGUCAGCAGGGAACUAGUGUGGGAGAUGGUCAGCAAGGAACUAGUGUGGAAGAUGGUCAGCAAGGAGCUAGUGUAGAACGGAAUGAGGAAGGAGAUGAUGCAGCCACGUCCGCUGUUGAGAUCCUUCGUCAUCUCCUCAAUCCGAGCGAUCAAUGGAUUCGGCGAAGGUCGGUGGCAUUGCGAUAUUGGCUGGCUGUGAUACUGUUCAGAUGGCGAAACGUGACGACGGAACGAUCAAAAGCAGUAUGAACGUCUCAUGCACUACAGUACGGCGCCAUUUGGAUAAGGACCCGGUGACACUUAAUUUCGAGCAUCCGGAGAAACCGAGACGAUAUCCGGCGACUACAGCGGAUGCGAUUGUAGACGCACUGUGCUUCCCGGAUAGAGUCAUAGAUGACGUGGACAACACAUUGACUUUGCGAUUGUGGGUCUCGGUGAUCUUGCGACGACUCUCAACGGCGGAUCGAAAGCUGGAGCCAUUGUCAAAAUUGGUCGGAAUCAGCGUUUCGAAAAUUAGCAAAGGUGCGUCCAAUGGAUUGACACCGGCAUCCCAAAAUUUUUUCGCAGCUACUGAUUAAAGCUCGAAUCGAAAUGUUGGAGCGACGACAAGACCACGGACUCGUUUAUGGUGCACUCAUUCGUAUCCGAUUAAGACGUCCAUUUUUCAUUGUUUCUGUGAAGACUGAAGUUGUGUAAUGUGUCAAAACAAUAAAACAAUC